UACGUAGGGGGCAAGCGUUGUCCGGAAUCAUUGGGCGUAAAGAGCGUGUAGGCGGCUCGGUAAGUCCGCUGUGAAAGUCCAGGGCUCAACCCUGGAAGGCCGGUGGAAACUGCCGGGCUAGAGUCCGGAAGAGGCGAGUGGAAUUCCCGGUGUAGCGGUGAAAUGCGCAGAUAUCGGGAGGAACACCAAUGGCGAAGGCAGCUCGCUGGGACGGUACUGACGCUGAGACGCGAAAGCGUGGGGAGCAAACAGG
rnacentral:rRNA from 1 species